rnacentral:rRNA from 1 species
AGUGGCAGACGGGUGAGUAACAUGUGGGUAUCUACCCUUUGGCCUGGAAUAACACGAGGAAACUUGUGCUAAUACCGGAUAAGUCUUUACGGAGAAAGCUUUAUGCACCAUUGGAUGAGCCCGCACUUGAUUAGUUUGUUGGUAGGGUAAUGGCCUACCAAGACUAUGAUCAAUAGCUGAUUUGAGAGGAUGAUCAGCCACAUUGGGACUGAGACACGGCCCAAACUCCUACGGGAGGCAGCAGUGGGGAAUCUUGCACAAUGGAGGAAACUCUGAUGCAGCGAUGCCGCGUGAGUGAAGAAGGCCUUUGGGUUGUAAAGCUCUUUCGUCGGGGAAGAAAAUGACUGUACCCGAAUAAGAUGGUCCGGCUAACCUCGUGCCAGCAGCCGCGGUAAUACGAAGGGACCUAGCGUAGUUCGGAAUUACUGGGCUUAAAGAGUUCGUAGGUGGUUGAAAAAGUUGGUGGUGAAAUCCCAGAGCUUAACUCUGGAACUGCCAUCAAAACUUUUCAGCUAGAGUAUGAUAGAGGAAAGCAGAAUUUCUAGUGUAGAGGUGAAAUUCGUAGAUAUUAGAAAGAAUACCAAUUGCGAAGGCAGCUUUCUGGAUCAUUACUGACACUGAGGAACGAAAGCAUGGGUAGCGAAGAGGAUUAGAUACCCUCGUAGUCCAUGCCGA